UACGGAGGGUGCGAGCGUUGUCCGGAAUCACUGGGCGUAAAGGGCGCGUAGGCGGCUAGGCCAAGCGUGCGGUGAAAGUCCGGGGCUCAACCCCGGAUCUGCCGUGCGGACUGGUUGCUAGAGCACUGUAGAGGCGAGUGGAAUUCCGGGGUGUAGCGGUGGAAUGCGUAGAGAUCCGGAAGAACACCGGUGGCGAAGGCGGCUCGCGUGGGCAGUGGCUGACGCUGAGGCGCGACAGCGUGGGGAGCAAACGAGG
rnacentral:rRNA from 1 species